CAUCGCCUCCUGCUAACUCAUAGGAGGUCCAGCCUGCCCAGUGACAAAGUUUAACGGCCUCGGUACCCUAACCGCGCGAAGGUAGCAUAAUCACUUGUUCUUUAAAUAAGGACUCGUAUCAACGGCAUCACGAGGGCUAGACUGUCUCCCCUUUUUAAUCAGUGAAUCUGACUUCUUCGUGAAGAGGCGAAGAUACUCAUAUAAGACGAGAAGACCCCAUGGAGCUUAAAACCCAACAACACUCUUUUGCAUAUACGCCCUAAAAAAUAAAAGACCUGUUGACUAGUUUUUGGCUGGGGCAUCCGAGGAGUAUAACAUAACCUCCCUGACGAACAUCUUAGAAUCACAACUCCAAGAAACAGCAAACUGACGUAAUGUGACCCGACAAUCGAUCAACGAACCAAGUUACCCUGGGGAUAACAGCGCAAUCCAUUUCAAGAGCCCCUAUCGACAAAUGGGUUUACGACCUCGAUGUUGGAUCAGGGUACCCCAGUGGUGCAGCCGCUACUAAAGGUUCGUUUGUUCAACGAUUAAAACCCU
rnacentral:rRNA from 1 species